AGAGUUUGAUCCUGGCUCAGGAUGAACGCUGGCGGCGUGCUUAACACAUGCAAGUCGAACGGGAAAUAUUUCAUUGAGACUUCGGUGGAUUUGAUCUAUUUCUAGUGGCGGACGGGUGAGUAACGCGUGGGUAACCUGCCUUAUACAGGGGGAUAACAGUCAGAAAUGGCUGCUAAUACCGCAUAAGCGCACAGAGCUGCAUGGCUCAGUGUGAAAAACUCCGGUGGUAUAAGAUGGAUCCGCGUUGGAUUAGCUAGUUGGUGGGGUAACGGCCCACCAAGGCGACGAUCCAUAGCCGGCCUGAGAGGGUGAACGGCCACAUUGGGACUGAGACACGGCCCAGACUCCUACGGGAGGCAGCAGUGGGGAAUAUUGCACAAUGGGGGAAACCCUGAUGCAGCGACGCCGCGUGAAGGAAGAAGUAUCUCGGUAUGUAAACUUCUAUCAGCAGGGAAGAUAGUGACGGUACCUGACUAAGAAGCCCCGGCUAACUACGUGCCAGCAGCCGCGGU
rnacentral:rRNA from 1 species